UACGGGGGGGGCAAGCGUUGUUCGGAAUUACUGGGCGUAAAGGGCUCGUAGGCGGCCAACUAAGUCAUGCGUGAAAUCCCUCGGCUUAACCGGGGAACUGCGUCUGAUACUGGAUGGCUUGAGUUCGGGAGAGGGAUGCGGAAUUCCAGGUGUAGCGGUGAAAUGCGUAGAUAUCAGGAAGAACACCAAUGGCGAAGGCAGCUCUCUGGGACGGUACUGACGCUGAGACGCGAAAGCGUGGGGAGCGAACAGG
rnacentral:rRNA from 1 species